rnacentral:rRNA from 1 species
AGAGUUUGAUCCUGGCUCAGGAUGAACGCUAGCUACAGGCUUAACACAUGCAAGUCGAGGGGCAGCAUGGUCUUAGCUUGCUAAGGCCGAUGGCGACCGGCGCACGGGUGAGUAACACGUAUCCAACCUGCCGUCUACUCUUGGACAGCCUUCUGAAAGGAAGAUUAAUACAAGAUGGCAUCAUGAGUCCGCAUGUUCACAUGAUUAAAGGUAUUCCGGUAGACGAUGGGGAUGCGUUCCAUUAGAUAGUAGGCGGGGUAACGGCCCACCUAGUCUUCGAUGGAUAGGGGUUCUGAGAGGAAGGUCCCCCACAUUGGAACUGAGACACGGUCCAAACUCCUACGGGAGGCAGCAGUGAGGAAUAUUGGUCAAUGGGCGAGAGCCUGAACCAGCCAAGUAGCGUGAAGGAUGACUGCCCUAUGGGUUGUAAACUUCUUUUAUAAAGGAAUAAAGUCGGGUAUGUAUACCCGUUUGCAUGUACUUUAUGAAUAAGGAUCGGCUAACUCCGUGCCAGCAGCCGCGGUAAUACGGAGGAUCCGAGCGUUAUCCGGAUUUAUUGGGUUUAAAGGGAGCGUAGAUGGAUGUUUAAGUCAGUUGUGAAAGUUUGCGGCUCAACCGUAAAAUUGCAGUUGAUACUGGAUAUCUUGAGUGCAGUUGAGGCAGGCGGAAUUCGUGGUGUAGCGGUGAAAUGCUUAGAUAUCACGAAGAACUCCGAUUGCGAAGGCAGCCUGCUAGCUGCACUGACAUUGAGGCUCGAAAUGUGGGUUUCAACAGGAUAGAUACCUGGUAGUCCAACGGUAACAUGAUACUCCUGUUGCA